rnacentral:lncRNA from 1 species
UAUUUUUUUAAUCUGUCUUUAUUUUGAAACAGGUUGGCCUUGAACUCACUAUGUAGGCCAAAUCAGGCUCACAGUCAUGGUGAGUCUCCUGCCUCAGCUUCCUGACUACAGAGAUCAUAGACAUUCAGCAUCAUGCCCAUCUUUUGUCCUCUCACUCUUGCUUUCUGAGGUGAUCAUCAUUUCUGAAAAUAGCUAGGAGUAUAUCUG